rnacentral:tRNA from 1 species
GCUAAUGUAGCUCAGUCGGUAGAGCAGCUGAUUCGUAAUCAGCAGGUCAGCGGUUCAAAUCCGCUCAUUAGCUCCA